AGGAUACCUUCAUUUUGCCUUUCUCAGGAGCUGCUUCAUUGAUGAGUGGCUGUUCAUCCCCAUUCACUGACAGCAUCCUCUUUUCUGGCGGCUGCUCCUCUGGCUGGCGGGCAAUCAGCAGGCGACAGGUGAAAGCAAACUGACCUGUGAUAUCCUCUGCUUCCUGGUUUAUGCUGGGUUUAGAAGCAGUGUAAGUUGGAAGACUAAGCCUCCUUACACGGCUGCCUCAUUGUUUCAGAGAAGAAACAACCUCUGUCCUUACACACAUUUAAGUUCUUGCAUUUGAACAUUAGGUGCUUGGGGGCUAGUUGGGUUUGUUUUCUUUUUCAAUUAUUUCCUUUUAUAUAUAUUUUAAUAAAGCUCCUAGCUAU